rnacentral:rRNA from 1 species
AAAUUGAAGAGUUUGAUCAUGGCUCAGAUUGAACGCUGGCGGCAGGCCUAACACAUGCAAGUCGAACGGUAACAGGAAUCAGCUUGCUGAUUUGCUGACGAGUGGCGGACGGGUGAGUAAUGUCUGGGAAACUGCCUGAUGGAGGGGGAUAACUACUGGAAACGGUAGCUAAUAC